UCUAAUGUGUAGUCCAACGUGAUGGGGACCCUGCCUGAGACAUAUGCAGCCUCACAGGGGCGAAGCCAACUCACAAUGAGGUGACGGACACGGUGCCAUCCAGUUAACCUUUGG